rnacentral:rRNA from 1 species
CCUUCCCAAGACGAUGGAUGUGUAGCCCGGCUUGAGAGGUCGAACGGACACAAUUGGGACUGAGACACGGCCCAAACUCCUACGGGAGGCAGCAGUAAGGAAUUUUCGUCAAUGGAGGAAACUCUGUCCGAGCAAUGCCGCGUGAACGAUGAAGUAUUUCGGUACGUAAAGUUCUUUUAUUAGGGAAGAAAAGAUGGUGGAAAAACCAUUAUGACGGUACCUAAUGAAUAAGCCCCGGCUAACUAUGUGCCAGCAGCCGCGGUAAUACAUAGGGGGCAAGCGUUAUCCGGAAUUAUUGGGCGUAAAGGGUGCGUAGGCGGUUAAAUAAGUUUAUGGUCUAAGUGCAACGCUCAACGUUGUGAUGCUAUAAAAACUGUUUAGCUAGAGUUGGAUAGAGGCAAGUGGAAUUCCGUGUGUAGUGGUAAAAUGCGUAAAUAUACGGAGGAACACCAGAAGCGAAGGCGGCUUGCUGGGUCUUAACUGACGCUGAGGCACGAAAGCGUGGGGAGCAAACAGGAUUAGAUACCCUGGUAGUCCACGCCCUAAACGAUGAGUACUAAACGUUGGAUAAAACCAGUGUUGAAGUUAACACAUUAAGUACUCCGCCUGAGUAGUACGUACGCAAGUAUGAAACUUAAAGGAAUUGACGGGACUCCGCACAAGCGGUGGAUCAUGUUGUUUAAUUCGAAGGUACCCGAAAAACCUCACCAGGUCUUGACAUGCUUUUGCAAAGCUGUAGAAAUACAGUGGAGGUUAUCAGAAGCACAGGUGGUGCAUGGUUGUCGUCAGCUCGUGUCGUGAGAUGUUGGGUUAAGUCCCGCAACGAGCGCAACCCUUGUUGUUAAUUGCCAUCAUUAAGUUGGGGACUUUAGCAAGACUGCCAAUGAUAAAUUGGAGGAAGGUGGGGA